ACGCUGGCGGCAUGCUUUACACAUGCAAGUCGGACGGCAGCACAGAGAAGCUUGCUUCUUGGGUGGCGAGUGGCGAACGGGUGAGUAAUAUAUCGGAACGUACCGAGUAAUGGGGGAUAACUAAUCGAAAGAUUAGCUAAUACCGCAUAUUCUCUGAGGAGGAAAGCAGGGGACCUUCGGGCCUUGCGUUAUUCGAGCGGCCGAUAUCUGAUUAGCUAGUUGGUGGGGUAAAGGCCUACCAAGGCGACGAUCAGUAGCGGGUCUGAGAGGAUGAUCCGCCACACUGGGACUGAGACACGGCCCAGACUCCUACGGGAGGCAGCAGUGGGGAAUUUUGGGCAAUGGGCGCAAGCCUGAUCCAGCCAUGCCGCGUGUCUGAAGAAGGCCUUCGGGUUGUAAAGGACUUUUGUCAGGGAAGAAAAGGCUGUUGCUAAUACCGACAGCUGAUGACGGUACCUGAAGAAUAAGCACCGGCUAACUACGUGCCAGCAGCCGCGGUAAUACGUAGGGUGCGAGCGUUAAUCGGAAUUACUGGGCGUAAAGCGAGCGCAGACGGUUACUUAAGCAGGAUGUGAAAUCCCCGGGCUCAACCUGGGAACUGCGUUCUGAACUGGGUGACUAGAGUGUGUCAGAGGGAGGUAGAAUUCCACGUGUAGCAGUGAAAUGCGUAGAGAUGUGGAGGAAUACCGAUGGCGAAGGCAGCCUCCUGGGAUAACACUGACGUUCAUGCUCGAAAGCGUGGGUAGCAAACAGGAUUAGAUACCCUGGUAGUCCACGCCCUAAACGAUGUCAAUUAGCUGUUGGGCAACUUGAUUGCUUAGUAGCGUAGCUAACGCGUGAAAUUGACCGCCUGGGGAGUACGGUCGCAAGAUUAAAACUCAAAGGAAUUGACGGGGACCCGCACAAGCGGUGGAUGAUGU
rnacentral:rRNA from 1 species